AUUGAACGCUGGCGGCAUGCUUUACACAUGCAAGUCGAACGGUAACAGGCCGCAAGGUGCUGACGAGUGGCGAACGGGUGAGUAAUGCAUCGGAACGUGCCCAGUCGUGGGGGAUAACGCAGCGAAAGCUGCGCUAACACCGCAUACGAUCUAUGGAUGAAAGCGGGGGACCGUAAGGCCUCGCGCGAUUGGAGCGGCCGAUGUCAGAUUAGGUAGUUGGUGGGGUAAAGGCUCACCAAGCCAACGAUCUGUAGCUGGUCGGAGAGGACGACCAGCCAAACUGGGACUGAGACACGGCCCAGACUCCUACGGGAGGCAGCAGUGGGGAAUUUUGGACAAUGGGCGAAAGCCUGAUCCAGCAAUGCCGCGUGCAGGAAGAAGGCCUUCGGGUUGUGAACUGCUUUUGUACGGAACGAAACGGUCCUGGUUAAUACCCGGGGCUAAUGACGGUGCCGUAAGAAUAAGCACCGGCUAACUACGUGCCAGCAGCCGCAGUAACAC
rnacentral:rRNA from 1 species